rnacentral:rRNA from 1 species
AGAGUGAACGCUGGCGGCAGGCCUAACACAUGCAAGUCGAACGGCAGCACAGAGGAGCUUGCUCCUUGGGUGGCGAGUGGCGGACGGGUGAGGAAUACGUCGGAAUCUGCCUAUUUGUGGGGGAUAACGUAGGGAAACUUACGCUAAUACCGCAUACGACCUACGGGUGAAAGCGGAGGACCUUCGGGCUUCGCGCAGAUAGAUGAGCCGACGUCGGAUUAGCUAGUUGGCGGGUAAAGGCCACCAAGGCGACGAUCCGUAGCUGGUCUGAGAGGAUGAUCAGCCACACUGGAACUGAGACACGGUCCAGACUCCUACGGGAGGCAGCAGUGGGAAUAUUGACAAUGGGCGCAAGCCUGACUCCAAGCCAGUACGCCGCGUAGUGUGAAGAGGCCUUCGGUUGUAAAGCUACUUUGUAACGGUAAGAAAGUCUUUCGGUUAAUACCCGG